rnacentral:lncRNA from 1 species
AACAAUAAAUUUGUAAAAGUUACAAAUUUAAUGUUGCAACAUUAUUUUGUUGGUAACUGAAGCUCGCGCUCGACAUCGAGUCGCGCGCGGCGGUUUUUGCCGGGUUUACUGUUAGACGGCUAACGUCGCGAUUUGACCUUGUAGGCAUGCCAGUCAGAACUAACGUCUGUUAAAGCACGGUCGCGUCACUAAUUCGCGCGACCGACGCUGCCGUCUGCAGUUUUUAUACUCAAUUACCAAAUACUGCUAAUUCCAAUAUAUUAUAAUAUUGUGCUAAAUCGUUCCCGCUAUAGGGAGCGGAGUUAGUACUUCAAGAACAAAAUUGUUGGGCGCGAGGUUGCCUGUUUUGGCGAGCUGCGCGACGUGCCUUCACUGAGAACCCCAAUUGUCGUGACUCCCUCCUGCCUGCCGCUGCCCCUGGCGGACAAGUUCGUCGUCGCGUUCUCGUUGCUGCCGCCGUGGAUCGCAGGGGAGUGCGGGCAUUAAUGGACAGAAGUGAAAUAUAUUAUUAAGGCCUGUACCCACGUUAUAUAAAUUUGUGCCCGCCGGUUGAUUUAUUUUAAUAUACUUGUUAAUAAUAAU